ensembl:lncRNA
AAACACCUCAAGGUUUUGGUUUAACUAUCAUUUAACUCUUUCCAAAGGAUAUAUACGAGACUCGUGACAGGAGACCCAUGUGCUGUCCGCACAUUUUCAUGAAUGAGAGAUCUUUUUUUUCUAAAGAAGCAUCAAUCAGUUUCGAUUAAUCAAAGUAUUUGAUUUCAGCCUCUAACAACUGAUCUCUCAAAAACGUGUUGAGGCUCAGUCAUUUUGAGUGCAGUUUAGGAUUAGCAUGAUUUUUCCAUUGUAAAAAAAAAAAACGAUGUAAAAAUGGGGGACCUGAGCCCUAGGACCAUGCCUCAGGACUACCUGGCAUGAUGACUCCUUGCUCUCCCCAGUCCACCUGGCCGUGCUGCUGCUCCAGUUUCAACUGUUCUGCCUGUGGCUAUGGAAUACUGAACUGUUCACCGGACGUGCUACCUGUCCCAGACCUGCUGUUUUCAACUCUCUAGAGACAGCAGGAGUGGUAGAGAUACUCUGAAUGAUCGGCUAUGAAAAGCCAACUGACAUUUACUCCUGAGGUGCUGACCUGUUGCACCCUCGACAACCACUGUGAUUAUUAUUAUUUGACCCUGCUGGUCAUCUAUGAACAUUUGAACAUCUUUGCCAUGUUCUGUUAUAAUCUCCACCUGGCACAGCCAGAAGAGGACUGGCCACUCCUCAUAGCCUGGUUCCUCUCUAGGUUUCUUCCUAGGUUCUUGCCUUUCUAGGGAGUUUUUCCUAGCCACUGUGCUUCAACACCUACAUUGCUUGCUGUUUGGGGUUUUUAGGCUGGGUUUCUGUACAGCACUUUGUGACAUAAGCUGAUAUAAGAAGGGCUUUAUAAAUACAUUUGAUUGAUUGAUAUUUCUCAUGUUUCUUGGACCAAGCAAGUCUCUUCUUAUUAUUGGUGUCCUUUAGUAGUAGUUUCCUUGCAGCAAUUUUACCAUGAAGGCAGGAUUCACGCAGUCCCCUCUGAACAGUUGAUGAUGAGAUGGAGCCGUUACUUGAACUCUGUGAAGAAUUUAUUUGGGAUGCAAUUUCUGAGGCUGCUAACUCGAAUGAACUUAUCCUCUGCAGCAGAGGUAACUCUGGGUCUUCCUUUCCUGUGGCGGUCCUCAUGAGAGCCAGCUUCAUCAUAGCGCUUGAUGGUUUUGCGACUGCACUUGAAGAAAUGUUCAAAGUUCUUUAAAAUGUUCUGUAUGGACUGACCUUCAUGUAUUAAAAUAAGGACGGGCUGUUGUUUCUCUUUGCUUAUUUGUGCUGUUCAUGCCAUAAUAUGGGCUUGGUCUAUUACCGAAUAUACCACACCUACCUUGUCACAACACAACUGAAUGGCUCAAAUGCAUGAAGAAGGAAAGAAAUUCCACAAAUUAACUUUUAACAAGGCACAUCUGUUAAUUGAAAUGCAUUCCAGAUGACUACCUCAUGAAGAUGGUUGAGAGUAUGCCAAGAGGGUGCAAAGCUGACAUCAAGGCAAAGGGUGGCUACUUUGAGGAAUCUCAAAUAUAAAAUAUAUUUUGAUUAGUUUAACACUUUUUUUUGUUACUACAUGAUUCCAUAUGUGUUAUUUUAUAGUUUUGAUGUCUUCA